UACGGAGGGUGCAAGCGUUAAUCGGAAUCACUGGGCGUAAAGCGCACGUAGGCGGCUUGGUAAGUCAGGGGUGAAAUCCCACAGCCCAACUGUGGAACUGCCUUUGAUACUGCCAGGCUUGAGUACCGGAGAGGGUGGCGGAAUUCCAGGUGUAGGAGUGAAAUCCGUAGAUAUCUGGAGGAACACCGGUGGCGAAGGCGGCCACCUGGACGGUAACUGACGCUGAGGUGCGAAAGCGUGGGGAGCAAACAGG
rnacentral:rRNA from 1 species